GAUUCUUCCACAUAGGUUUCAGAGGAAGAAAUACUGUCUGUAGAAUCAUUAUUAAAGAAGUGACCUUUGUAAUAAUCAGCAGCGGUGUAUGGAAGAUCCUCUUCAAGAAGGAUACACAACUUAUGUUCAUUAAUCCUCAUCUUUUUUACCAAUCUUACAUACCGAUGAGUCUCAAUACGAACUUGUAAUCGAGCAAAUUCUAAGUUUUCCCACGUCAACGUAGAUUUGUCUAUUGACAUCAACUUUGCCGCUUCACCAAUCACUCUUCUAAAGCAUUCUUCGUUCCAAAGGGAUAUCGGAAGACCAUAACACUUCACCCAUACUACUUUGUGACUUGCUACCGCCAUUUUCG
rnacentral:lncRNA from 1 species